ACGUGGACAAGCCAAGAGGACGUGUUACAAAGCUGUCAGUGUGAGCAUCUCAGACGAGACUGUCCAGAAAAAAACUGGUGUCUUUCUAUGGUGUUUGUUAAAAGGUAAUCUCUACACCCAAUGUGGGGCUCCAUCCGACUUCACAACCCUGAGAUCUGGAAUUGCCUGUCCACAGGACUAAGCCAGCCACACGCCCCAGUGAUCACAGUUUAAAUUGUGCCCACUUGCCUGCCUCCCCAGGUAUAUGUGCUUCAAGAAUCAAAAGAAUGGAAUUCUAAUGGUGGAAGGAUCAGAGCAACUGGCACCUAUCCCCG